GUACACGCUGUGACUAGCAUAUCAAUAAGCGGAGGAAAAGAAACUAACAAGGAUUCCCCUAGUAACGGCGAGUGAAGCGGGAAGAGCUCAAAUUUGAAAUCUUAAAGGGUUUCCCUUUACGAAUUGUAGUUUAAAGAAGUGUUUUCUGUUGAGGUUUUGGUAAAAGUUCUUUGGAAUAGGACAUCAUAGAGGGUGAGAAUCCCGUAUUUGACCCUUACUUUCAACUUUGUGAUACACUUUCAAAGAGUCGGAUUGUUUGGGAAUGCAGUCCAAAAUGGGUGGUAAAUUUCAUCCAAAGCUAAAUAUUGGCGAGAGACCGAUAGCGAACAAGUACCGUGAGGGAAAGAUGAAAAGAACUUUGAAAAGAGAGUUAAACAGUACGUGAAAUUGUCAAAAGGGAAGCGUUUGACACCAGUGUUGUUUUUCUGAAAAUCAAUUAAAGAACUGUUUAUGCUAAGUUGUUUAGACUUUAUCAGCUAACUGUUUAGUUUUGAGCUUUUCUUUAAUGCACUUUUCAGUUAACAAGUCAACAUCAAUUUCUUUUGCUGUAAAAAAGCUUGAGGAAGGUGGCUUGAGAUUCGUCUUAAGUGUUUAUAGCCUCUUGCCUAUGCAGUCGGAGAGAUUGAGGUCUGCAGCGUAGAUCCUUCGGGGCUAAAUGCAUUUGUGCUAAGUUAUAGCAUUUUAUAGACAACUUGUUGACUAUGAUUUGUCUUGUAGCUUACUCGCUUAUGUUAUUUUACCUACGCUUAGGAUGUUGAGUCGUAGAGCACGCAGA
rnacentral:rRNA from 1 species